CUGCUGCCUUCCGUAGGAGUCUGGUCCGUGUCUCAGUACCAGUGUGGGGGACCUUCCUCUCAGAACCCCUGCGCAUCGUCGCCUCGGUGGGCCGUUACCCCGCCGACUAGCUAAUGCGCCGCAUGGCCAUCCGCAGCCGAUAAAUCUUUAAACAUCGGGAGAUGCCUCCCAACGUUGUUACGCGGUAUUAGACGGAAUUUCUUCCGCUUAUCCCCCUGCUGCGGGCAGGUUCCAUACGUGUUACUCACCCGUGCGCCGGUCG
rnacentral:rRNA from 1 species